GCCAAGGCUCAUUUAUAUCGGUUUUUAUUAUCCUAUUAACUCUCAUUUCCGUGUUUCUCUUUUCCUCCGCAUUUCUCUUUUAUGUUGUCUCUGCUGCUCGCCGGCGAGCAUUGUUCGCUUCGCCCGUCAUUCUCUUCAUCCACGACGUCGUUGCGGCCUUUCUCCACUUAUUGACCAUUGACUUCUUCUUCUUCUUCUUCU
rnacentral:misc_RNA from 1 species